CAGAGCUCGUAAGAUGGGUUUUGAGGGGAUCAAUUUCGAGUACAGAUAAGGCCUGUUUGGGAUACCUGUUUAGGUGAGGAAAUGUUUAUAAUUAUAAGUUAUUUUCUUUUCCUUUAAUUCCCUUCCCAAGUGCCGUUUUCCCCAAACCCGACGCCGAUCUCCUCCUCCCCGAUUCCCUCUGCCCGAGCCCCUCUCCGGCGAUUUCUCCUCUCCGCCUCUCGGUGUCGCCGGCGCAAGCAACCACCGGAGCUUUGCAGGGCGGGUUCUCCGUCCUCUCCCUCUUGAGGUGUGGAUCCCUCCUCCCUUCCUCUCCCUCCUCUUCCUGCCCUAGAUCGCCGACGGAGAGGUCUCGUCCACUGCGAUUGAGUUCUUGCUGAGUUACCGGAGAUAGGACGUUGGAGCUCGAAGGGUACCAAUCAUCUCCGGCAGAGUAGGCAUCCUGGUGGUUGUUUCUUGCGAGCGAUCGAGGUGAUCCGGCGGAGCUAGGGCACGGCAGCGGGGGAAUUGGUUCGCAUCUCUCUCGGUAGAUUGAGCUCUCUCAGUUCUUCUCCUCUAUCUGUUCACUGGAGUUUGACUUGCAACUCCAAAAUUGCUGGAUCGAAGUGGGCGACAUCACCAGGGAGAGUUUAAUUGAGAGGAAGCAUUGGACCAGUAUGUGGUGGAUCUUCCCAGUUGCCGGUCACUGCCAAGUCCAUUUCUUGGAGUUGUGGAGGUCUCGGCUGAAGAGUUAGGGAUCUGUUUGAGCUUCUGGCAGUGGGUUGUAGGGUUGUUAGCUACUGGUUUGCUGCCAUCCCUCAAGGACUUGGAUUCGGGACGAGCGUCUCGACAUGGGAUUUUCGGAUGACGAUCGACAGAUAAGGCGGGUAUUUCUUCCUUUACCUCUAUGUAGAAUUUCUUGUACUUAGUGCAUGGUUGUUAUCCGAUGGAUCAGACUGCUUUACCUUAUAUCAUAUCUGUUUUUUGACCUCCUGCUAGAGACUUAUGUUUGAUCUUUGAGGUGUUCCAUUUAAUUCAUAUACAGUCUCAACUCUUGAUAUCUACUCUAUUGUGAUUACACGUGUAGAGUAUGUCUUGUAGGGAUUGUCGGGUGGCUGGUAUUAUCAUGCUGAUUG